GGGGGCUUAGCUCAUCUGGUAGAGCACCUGCUUUGCAAGCAGGGGGUGAACGGUUCGAGUCCGUUAGCCUCCA
rfam:Janthinobacterium sp. B9-8, complete genome.